rnacentral:rRNA from 1 species
GAUUGAACGCUGGCGGCAGGCCUAACACAUGCAAGUCGGACGGUAGCACAGAGAGCUUGCUCUCGGGUGACGAGUGGCGGACGGGUGAGUAAUGUCUGGGGAUCUGCCCGAUAGAGGGGGAUAACCACUGGAAACGGUGGCUAAUACCGCAUAACGUCGCAAGACCAAAGAGGGGGACCUUCGGGCCUCUCACUAUCGGAUGAACCCAGAUGGGAUUAGCUAGUAGGCGGGGUAACGGCCCACCUAGGCGACGAUCCCUAGCUGGUCUGAGAGGAUGACCAGCCACACUGGAACUGAGACACGGUCCAGACUCCUACGGGAGGCAGCAGUGGGGAAUAUUGCACAAUGGGCGCAAGCCUGAUGCAGCCAUGCCGCGUGUAUGAAGAAGGCCCUCGGGUUGUAAAGUACUUUCAGCGGGGAGGAAGGCAACAAGGUUAAUAACCUUGUUGAUUGACGUUACCCGCAAAAGAAGCACCGGCUAACUCCGUGCCAGCAGCCGCGGUAAUACGGAGGGUGCAAGCGUUAAUCGGAAUUACUGGGCGUAAAGCGCACGCAGGCGGUCUGUUAAGUCAGAUGUGAAAUACCCGGGCUUAACCUGGGAACUGCAUUUGAAACUGGCAGGCUUGAGUCUCGUAGAGGGGGGUAGAAUUCCAGGUGUAGCGGUGAAAUGCGUAGAGAUCUGGAGGAAUACCGGUGGCGAAAGGCGGCCCCCUGGACGAAGACUGACGCUC